AUGAACGCUGGCGGCGUGCCUUAGGCAUGCAAGUCGAAUGGGUUUCGUAAGAAACCAAUGGCGGACGGGUGAGUAAUAGUAAGGAAUCUACCCCAAAGUGAAGGAUAGCUCGUCGAAAGACGGGGUAAUCCUGCAUAAUCCAGAUACCAUCCGGUAUUUGGCAAAGGGCUUAACUGCCCGCUCUGGGAGGAGCCUUAUUCCUAUCAGCUAGUUGGUAGGGUAACGGCCUACCAAGGCUAUGACGGGUAACUGGUGUGAGAGCAUGUCCAGUCACAAUGGCACUGAGAUACGGGCCAUACACCUACGGGUGGCAGCAACCGGGAAUCGUCGGCAAUGGACGAAAGUCUGACCGCGCGACGCCGCGUGAGGGAUGAAGCCUUUCGGGGUGUAAACCUCUUUUGUUCCGACAUUACGUCGGGAAGAAUAAGCACCUACUAACUACGU
rnacentral:rRNA from 1 species